rnacentral:rRNA from 1 species
AUUGAACGCUGGCGGCAGGCCUAACACAUGCAAGUCGAGCGGAUGAAGGGAGCUUGCUCCUGGAUUCAGCGGCGGACGGGUGAGUAAUGCCUAGGAAUCUGCCUGGUAGUGGGGGAUAACGUCCGGAAACGGGCGCUAAUACCGCAUACGUCCUGAGGGAGAAAGUGGGGGAUCUUCGGACCGCACGCUAUCAGAUGAGCCUAGGUCGGAUUAGCUAGUUGGUGGGGUAAAGGCCUACCAAGGCGACGAUCCGUAACUGGUCUGAGAGGAUGAUCAGUCACACUGGAACUGAGACACGGUCCAGACUCCUACGGGAGGCAGCAGUGGGGAAUAUUGGACAAUGGGCGAAAGCCUGAUCCAGCCAUGCCGCGUGUGUGAAGAAGGUCUUCGGAUUGUAAAGCACUUUAAGUUGGGAGGAAGGGCAGUAAGUUGAUACCUUGCUGUUUUGACGUUACCAACAGAAUAAGCACCGGCUAACUUCGUG